CAGUAGCCGCGGUAAUACGGAGGGGGCUAGCGUUGUUCGGAAUUACUGGGCGUAAAGCGCACGUAGGCGGCUUGGUAAGUUAGAGGUGAAAGCCCGGAGCUCAACUCCGGAAUUGCCUUUAAGACUGCCGAGCUAGUAGGUGAGAGAGGUAAGUGGAAUUCCGAGUAUAGAGGUGAAAUUCGUAGAUAUUCGGAAGGACACCAGUGGCGAAGGCGGCUUACUGGCUCAUUCUAGACGCUGAGGUGCGAAAGCGUGGGGAGCAAACAGGAUUAGAUACCCCAGUAGUCCCUGUCUCUUAUAC
rnacentral:rRNA from 1 species